rnacentral:rRNA from 1 species
GGACGGGUGAGUAACGCGUGGGAAUCUGCCCUCAGGAGGGGGAUAACGGCUGGAAACGGCCGCUAAUACCCCAUAUGCCGAGAGGUGAAAUGAAUUUCGCCUGAGGAUGAGCCCGCGUCUGAUUAGCUAGUUGGUGAGGUAAGAGCUCACCAAGGCAUCGAUCAGUAGCUGGUCUGAGAGGAUGAUCAGCCACACUGGGACUGAGACACGGCCCAGACUCCUACGGGAGGCAGCAGUGGGGAAUUUUCCGCAAUGGGCGAAAGCCUGACGGAGCAACGCCGCGUGAGGGAUGAAGGCCUCUGGGCUGUAAACCUCUUUUCUCAAGGAAGAAGAUCUGACGGUACUUGAGGAAUAAGCCACGGCUAAUUCCGUGCCAGCAGCCGCGGUAAUACGGGAGUGGCAAGCGUUAUCCGGAAUUAUUGGGCGUAAAGCGUCCGCAGGCGGCCCUUCAAGUCUGCUGUUAAAAAGUGGAGCUUAACUCCAUCAUGGCAGUGGAAACUGUUGGGCUUGAGUGUGGUAGGGGCAGAGGGAAUUCCCGGUGUAGCGGUGAAAUGCGUAGAUAUCGGGAAGAACACCAGUGGCGAAGGCGCUCUGCUGGGCCAUAACUGACGCUCAUGGACGAAAGCCAGGGGAGCGAAAGGGAUUAGAUACCCCUGUAGUCCUGGCCGUAAACGAUGAACACUAGGUGUCGGGGGAAUCGACCCCCUCGGUGUCGUAGCCAACGCGUUAAGUGUUCCGCCUGGGGAGUACGCACGCAAGUGUGAAACUCAAAGGAAUUGACGGGGGCCCGCACAAGCGGUGGAGUAUGUGGUUUAAUUCGAUGCAACGCGAAGAACCUUACCAGGAUUUGACAUCCUGCGAACCUCUUGGAAACGAGAGGGUGCCUUCGGGAACGCAGUGACAGGUGGUGCAUGGCUGUCGUCAGCUCGUGUCGUGAGAUGUUGGGUUAAGUCCCGCAACGAGCGCAACCCACGUCUUUAGUUGCCAGCAUUUAGUUGGGCACUCUAGAGAGACCGCCGGUGAUAAACCGGAGGAAGGUGUGGAUGACGUCAAGUCAUCAUGCCCCUUACAUCCUGGGCUACACACGUACUACAAUGCUACGGACAAAGAGCAGCAAGUUCGCGAGGACAAGCAAAUCUCAUAAACCGUGGCUCAGUUCAGAUCGUAGGCUGCAACUCGCCUACGUGAAGGAGGAAUCGCUAGUAAUCGCAGGUCAGCAUACUGCGGUGAAUACGUUCCCGGGCCUUGUACACACCGCCCGUCACACCAUGGAAGUUGGCCACGCCCGAAGCCGUUACUCCAACCCUCGGGAGGAGGACGUCGAAGGUGGGGCUGAUGACUGGGGUG